CACGUAGGGAGCAAGCGUUGUCCGGAUUUAUUGGGCGUAAAGAGCUCGUAGGCUGUUCGAUAAGUCGGGUGUGAAACCUCCAGGCUCAACCUGGAGACGCCACCCGAUACUGUCAUGACUAGAGUCCGGUAGGGGAGCGUGGAAUUCCUGGUGUAGCGGUGAAAUGCGCAGAUAUCAGGAGGAACACCGGUGGCGAAGGCGGGUCUCUGGGCAACAACUGACGCUGGAGGAGCGAAAGCGUGGGGAGCGAACAGG
rnacentral:rRNA from 1 species